GGCGGGCAUGGUGGCACGUGCCUCUAGUCCCAGCUAUUCUGGAGGCUGAGACAGGAGGAUCACUUGAGUCCAGGAGUUCUGGGCUACAAGUAGUGCACUAUGCUGAUCGGGUGUACGCACUAAGUUCGGCAUCAAUACGGUGACCUCCCUGGGAGCAGGGAGCCACCAGGUUGCCUAAGGAGGAGUGAACCAGCCCAGGUCAGAUAUAGAGCAGGUCAAAGCUCCCCUGCUGAUCAGUAGUGGGAUUGCGCCUGUGAAUAGCCACUGCACUCCAACCUGGGCAACAUAGCAAGACCCUGUCUCAA
rfam:Otolemur garnettii contig060335, whole genome shotgun sequence.